AUGUUCGCGUUGGUGGCUUUGUACCCCACACAACACGGCAUGUAACUCCGAGGCAACUUGGGGUUAUAUGGUCAAGCGAAUAAGCGCACACGGUGGAUGCCUAGGCGGUCAGAGGCGAUGAAGGACGUGGUAGCCUGCGAAAAGUGUCGGGGAGCUGGCAACAAGCUUUGAUCCGGCAAUAUCCGAAUGGGGAAACCCACUGCUUCGGCAGUAUCUUGCAGUGAAUUCAUAGCUGCUUGAAGCGAACCCGGUGAACUGAAAUAUCUAAGUAACCGGAGGAAAAGAAAUCAACCGAGAUUCCCUGAGUAGUGACGAGCGAACGGGGAACAGCCCUUAAGCUGGAAUGGCUUUAGAAAAACAAUCUGGAAAGAUUGGCCAUAGAAGGUGAUAGCCCUGUAUUUAAAAGGGCCACUCCAGUGAAGACGAGUAGGGCGGGGCACGUGAAACCCUGUCUGAAUAUGGGGGGACCAUCCUCCAAGGCUAAAUACUCCUGACCGACCGAUAGUGAACCAGUACCGUGAGGGAAAGGCGAAAAGAACCCCGGAGAGGGGAGUGAAAUAGAUCCUGAAACCGUGUGCGUACAAGCAGUAGGAGCUCGCAAGAGUGACUGCGUACCUUUUGUAUAAUGGGUCAGCGACUUACUGUUCGUGGCAAGCUUAACCGUAUAGGGGAGGCGAAGGGAAACCGAGUCUGAUAAGGGCGCAUAGUCGCGGGCAGUAGACCCGAAACCGGGUGAUCUAGUCAUGGCCAGGGUGAAGGUGCCGUAACAGGUACUGGAGGCCCGAACCCACGUCUGUUGCAAAAGACGGGGAUGAGCUGUGAUUAGGAGUGAAAAGCUAAUCGAACCCGGAGAUAGCUGGUUCUCCUCGAAAGCUAUUUAGGUAGCGCCUCGGACGAAUACUACUGGGGGUAGAGCACUGUUAUGGCUAGGGGGUCAUCGCGACUUACCAAACCAUUGCAAACUCCGAAUACCAGUACGUACUAUCCGGGAGACACACGGCGGGUGCUAACGUCCGUCGUGAAAAGGGAAACAACCCAGACCCACAGCUAAGGUCCCAAAUUCACUGCUAAGUGGAAAACGAUGUGGAAAGGCAUAGACAGCCAGGAGGUUGGCUUAGAAGCAGCCACCCUUUAAAGAAAGCGUAAUAGCUCACUGGUCGAGUCGGUCUGCGCGGAAGAUUUAACGGGGCUAAGCAGUGAACCGAAGCUUGGGGUGCGUAAAACUUCGGUUUUAUGCGCGGUAGAGGAGCGUUCCGUAAGCCUGCGAAGGUGGAUUGAGAAGUCUGCUGGAGGUAUCGGAAGUGCGAAUGCUGACAUGAGUAACGAUAAUGCGGGUGAAAAGCCCGCACGCCGAAAGCCCAAGGUUUCCUUGCGCAACGUUAAUCGACGCAGGGUUAGUCGGUCCCUAAGGCGAGGGCGAAAGCCGUAGUCGAUGGGAAGCAGGUUAAUAUUCCUGCACCUCGCGUGAGUGCGAUGGAGGGACGGAGAAGGUUAGGUGUACCGGGCGUUGGUUGUCCCGGGGAAAGGCGGUAGGUUUGGAUCUUUGGCAAAUCCGGGAUCCUUUAAGACCGAGCACCGAGACGAGCCUUUAUGGCGAAGUCACUGAUACCACGCUUCCAGGAAAAGCUCCUAAGCUUCAGCUCACGAAGACCGUACCGUAAACCGACACAGGUGGGUAGGAUGAGAAUUCUCAGGCGCUUGAGAGAACUCGGGUGAAGGAACUAGGCAACAUGGCACCGUAACUUCGGGAGAAGGUGCACCCUUUUUGGUGGCUCAUGCGAGCUAUAGCUGAAGAGGGUCGCAGAAACCAGGCCGCUGCGACUGUUUAUCAAAAACACAGCACUCUGCAAACACGAAAGUGGACGUAUAGGGUGUGACGCCUGCCCGGUGCUGGAAGGUUAAUUGAUGGGGUCAGCCGCAAGGCGAAGCUCUUGAUCGAAGCCCCAGUAAACGGCGGCCGUAACUAUAACGGUCCUAAGGUAGCGAAAUUCCUUGUCGGGUAAGUUCCGACCUGCACGAAUGGCGUAACGACAGCGGCGCUGUCUCCACCCGAGACUCAGUGAAAUUGAAAUCGCUGUGAAGAUGCAGCGUUCCCGUGGCAAGACGGAAAGACCCCGUGAACCUUUACUAUAGCUUUACACUGAACGUUGAGUUCGUCUGUGUAGGAUAGGUGGGAGGCUAUGAAACUGUGGCGCUAGCUGCAGUGGAGCCAACCUUGAAAUACCACCCUGUCGUGCUUGACGUUCUAACCUAGAUCCGUUAUCCGGAUCAGGGACCGUGUAUGGUGGGUAGUUUGACUGGGGCGGUCUCCUCCUAAAGAGUAACGGAGGAGCACGAAGGUACGCUCAGCGCGGUCGGACAUCGCGCACUGUGUGCAAAGGCAUAAGCGUGCUUGACUGCAAGAUCGACGGAUCAAGCAGGUACGAAAGUAGGUCUUAGUGAUCCGGUGGUUCUGUAUGGAAGGGCCAUCGCUCAACGGAUAAAAGGUACUCCGGGGAUAACAGGCUGAUACCGCCCAAGAGUUCAUAUCGACGGCGGUGUUUGGCACCUCGAUGUCGGCUCAUCACAUCCUGGGGCUGUAGUCGGUCCCAAGGGUAUGGCUGUUCGCCAUUUAAAGUGGUACGCGAGCUGGGUUCAGAACGUCGUGAGACAGUUCGGUCCCUAUCUGCCAUGGGCGUUGGAAGUUUGAGAGGGGCUGCUCCUAGUACGAGAGGACCGGAGUGGACGAACCUCUGGUGUUCCGGUUGUCACGCCAGUGGCAUUGCCGGGUAGCUAUGUUCGGAAGCGAUAACCGCUGAAAGCAUCUAAGCGGGAAGCGCGCCUCAAGAUGAGACUUCCCGGGGCACAAGCCCCCUAAAGGAACCAUAUAGACUAUGUGGUUGA
rnacentral:rRNA from 1 species